AAUACAGAGGUCCCAAGCGUUGUUCGGAUUCACUGGGCGUAAAGGGUGCGUAGGUGGUGAGGUAAGUCGGAUGUGAAAGCUCGGAGCUUAACUCCGAAAUGGCAUUGGAAACUACCUUGCUCGAGGGAUGGAGGGGGGACUGGAAUUCUCGGUGUAGCAGUGAAAUGCGUAGAUAUCGAGAGGAACACCAGUGGCGAAGGCGAGUCCCUGGACAUCUCCUGACACUGAGGCACGAAAGCUAGGGGAGCAAACA
rnacentral:rRNA from 1 species